GCAGAUUCCUCCUUCAGUCUGACCUUCUUGGAUGAUGAUGACUGCAGCAUCACUGUCAUUUCUAAAGCUUCCAUCAGCCUGAAUGUAAACAGACCACAGCAAGAGGAGGAGCUACACAACUGAAUAUGAAAGGCUUCAUUUGGAACUGAAGAGAUACUGUGUUCUUUCUAUUGUUCAUUCACUACAAGUCAAAUAAUGUUACUUCAUUUCAUUUGGAUGAUGAUGCUCACUUUUCAUACUGGAUCCUCUGAGGAUUUACUGAAACCAUUUAAAGAUGUAAUGCUGGCUUUGGAAGGAGACAAUGUGACUCUCUCCUGCAACUAUAAAGGCUCUGUUUACAACCUCUGCUGGUAUCAACAGAAGUCCAGUUUGUCUCCACAGCUGCUCAUCAUGGAAAAUUCAGAGAAAGUAGAAGGGUUGUCUUUCAAACAUGACAAAGACACAAAGACAUUUCAUCUGCAGAUCUCCUCUGCUGCAGUGUCUGACUCUGCUGUGUACUACUGUGCUCUGCAGAUGAUGUGUGGAGAUGCAAUAUCAGAUCCAGUACCUAGACUGUCAUUUAAAGUGAGUGCAGAUAAAACCCAAAUGGAUCUGCAGAUCUCCUCUGCUGCAGUGUCUGACUCUGCUGUGUACUACUGUUUUCCUGGUAAAAUUCCCAACCUGACUCUCUCCAUCGGGCCACCUGAUCAUCCCCCAGUGUAA